CCCGCUGAGUUUAAGCAUAUAAAUAAGCGGAGGAGAAGAAACUUACGAGGAUUCCCCUAGUAACGGCGAGCGAACCGGGAGCAGCCCAGCUUGAGAAUCGGGCGGCCUCGCCGCCCGAAUUGUAGUCUGGAGAGGCGUCCUCAGCGACGGACCGGGCCCAAGUUCUCUGGAAAGGGACGCCUGGGAGGGUGAGAGCCCCGUCCGGCCCGGACCCUGUCGCACCACGAGGCGCCGUCAACGAGUCGGGUUGUUUGGGAAUGCAGCCCAAAUCGGGCGGUAAACUCCGUCCAAGGCUAAAUACAGGCGAGAGACCGAUAGCGAACAAGUACCGCGAGGGAAAGAUGAAAAGGACUUUGAAAAGAGAGUCAAAGAGUGCUUGAAAUUGCCGGGAGGGAAGCGGAUGGGGGCUGGCGACGCGCACCGGCCGUAUGCGGAACGGCUCCUGCUGGUCUGCCGAUCGGCUCGGGGCGUGGACCGUUGUCGCCCGCGCCGGCGGCCAAAGCCCGGGGGCCCUAGGCGCCCCCGGCAGCCGUCGUCGGCACCGACGGUAUCCGCGCGCCUCUGGCGCGCCCCUCGGGGCGCUGCGCCGCAACGGCCUGCGAGCUCCCCAUCCGACCCGUCUUGAAACAUGG
rnacentral:ncRNA from 1 species